GACGAACGCUGGCGGCGUGCUUAACACAUGCAAGUCGAACGGAAAGGCCCUGCUUUUGUGGGGUGCUCGAGUGGCGAACGGGUGAGUAACACGUGAGUAACCUGCCCUUGACUUUGGGAUAACUUCAGGAAACUGGGGCUAAUACCGGAUAGGAGCCCCUGCUGCAUGGAGGGGGUUGGAAAGUUUCGUCGGUUGGGGAUGGACUGGCGGCUUAUCAGCUUGUUGGUGGGGUAGUGGCUUACCAAGGAUUUGACGGGUAGCCGGCCUGGGAGGGUGACCGGCCACAUUGGGACUGAGGGACGGCCCAGAUUCCUACGGGAGGCAGCAGUGGGGAAUAUUGCACAAGGGGCGGAAGCCUGAUGCAGCAACGCCGCGUGCGGGAUGACGGCCUUCGGGUUGUAAACCGCUUUCGCCUGUGACGAAGCGUGAGUGACGGUAAUGGGUAGAGAAGCACCGGCUAACUACGUG
rnacentral:rRNA from 1 species